rnacentral:rRNA from 1 species
GAGUUUGAUCUUGGCUCAGAUUGAACGCUGGCGGCAUGCCUAACACAUGCAAGUCGAACGGCAGCACAGCAGAGCUUGCUCUGUGGGUGGCGAGUGGCGGACGGGUGAGUAAUGCAUCGGGAUCUACCCAAGCGUGGGGGAUAACGUAGGGAAACUUACGCUAAUACCGCAUACGUCCUACGGGAGAAAGCGGGGGAUCUUCGGACCUCGCGCGGUUGGAUGAACCGAUGUGCGAUUAGCUAGUUGGCGGGGUAAUGGCCCACCAAGGCGACGAUCGCUAGCUGGUCUGAGAGGAUGAUCAGCCACACUGGAACUGAGACACGGUCCAGACUCCUACGGGAGGCAGCAGUGGGGAAUAUUGGACAAUGGGCGCAAGCCUGAUCCAGCAAUGCCGCGUGUGUGAAGAAGGCCUCGGUUGUAAG